rnacentral:rRNA from 1 species
AUUGAACGCUGGCGGCAGGCUUAACACAUGCAAGUCGAGCGGGGGAAGGUAGCUUGCUACUGGACCUAGCGGCGGACGGGUGAGUAAUGCUUAGGAAUCUGCCUAUUAGUGGGGGACAACAUCUCGAAAGGGAUGCUAAUACCGCAUACGUCCUACGGGAGAAAGCAGGGGAUCUUCGGACCUUGCGCUAAUAGAUGAGCCUAAGUCGGAUUAGCUAGUUGGUGGGGUAAAGGCCUACCAAGGCGACAAUCUGUAGCGGGUCUGAGAGGAUGGUCCGCCACACUGGGACUGAGACACGGCCCAGACUCCUACGGGAGGCAGCAGUGGGGAAUAUUGGACAAUGGGGGGAACCCUGAUCCAGCCAUGCCGCGUGUGUGAAGAAGGCCUUAUGGUUGUAAAGCACUUUAAGCGAGGAGGAGGCUACUUUAGUUAAUACCUAGAGAUAGUGGACGUUACUCGCAGAAUAAGCACCGGCUAACUCUGUGCCAGCCGCCGCCGUAA